GGCCGUUUAGCACAGUUGGUUAGAGCGUGGUGCUAAUAACGCCAAGGUCGUGGGUUCGAUCCCCAUACUGGCAA
rnacentral:tRNA from 1 species